CGAUCUCUAGUGCGAUAGGGAGGCUAUUCCCAUGAUCACUGGCAAGCAGGCUAAGGGAGCUUAGCCUGCUUUCCAGGGAUUGUGGAAACCACAGGGCUCACAGGCACUGGGAUCACAGCUCUCACUUUCAUCCCAGGGAAGGGGGAAAACAAUCUUCAAAAGGGAACUAGUCUUGCCCAGACCCCAGGGGCUGAAUCCUGCCAGCAGGUUUCUAAAAGUGGACUGCUAGGUUUGUCAAUUAAGUGUUCUGUCAGAUAUGCUCCUGCUGUGCACUGAAAUGCAGCCAGCCAUGCUGGAGCAUUAUCCGUCUUAAACAGGACAUGAACAACAACAACAAGGAAAAAGCCAAACUAAGAGAAUGAUUCUACCUUGAAAGACAAUGCCACAUAAAUGUGUCUCUCCGCAUCUGCAGUUUGGCGACAGCAACAAAGAAAUGUAAAACAAGAUUCCUGAAACUGGUAUGGCUGCAGCCCUCUCUUGAAACCACUUUCUUCAAAGAUAUCCUAUUGGCUUCAAGGGCACCAGCAUUCAGCAAGUGGUUUGAGGACUGCAGAAAGUAAGGACUUUCACACAACCAAGAACCUGAAGGAAUGUCUGCAGAUGCUCUGCAUAUGAACAGCUUGCGAGCAUUGUCCUCUGCUUUGUAAAGACUCCAUCAAUGCACCCAAGAGACAGACAUAAGUGUCUUGAAUCACCAUGAACUAAUGUAGAGAUGCAAUUAUUUUAAA